UGGGAUUAGAUACCCCACUAUGCCUAGCCUCAAACUAUGACUCAAUACAAAACACCAUCCGCCCGGGAACUACGAGCCCCAGCUUAAAACCCAAAGGACUUGGCGGUGCCCCACCCACCUAGAGGAGCCUGUUCUAUAAUCGAUAACCCCCGCUUAACCUCACCACUUCUUGCCAAUACCGCCUAUAUACCACCGUCGCCAGCCCACCCCGUGAGGGAAUAGUAGGCACAAUGAUAAGUCACCAAAACGUCAGGUCAAGGUGUAGCGUAUGAAGUGGGAAGAAAUGGGCUACAUUCUCUAACCUAGAGCACACGAAAAAUCUUAUGAAAUUAGAUUGGAAGGAGGAUUUAGUAGUAAAAAGAAACGAUAGUGUUCUUUUUAAACUGGCCCUGGGGCGCGCACACACCGCCCGU
rnacentral:rRNA from 1 species